rnacentral:lncRNA from 1 species
AUCUGAUUGAAUCAGUGUGGCAUGUAACUUCAGGGAUCAGAAGACUGGAGAUUGAGGAAAGGGAACUGAGUUUCAGAGAGCUGAAGGUGGGCAGUUCAUCAGAGGCAAGGCCAGGCUGACUAGCGAGGAAUGUCCAUUCCAGGGGGAGUUGAAGGGGAUGAGAAAUUUCCAAGCGGAGCCUGCUCGAUGGCCUCCUGUCUUUGGCUGAUUCCGAAAGACAAGUCUGUUAGAGACAACAACUUAAUAAAAUCUGUAACAGCUAAUAUGAUUGACAGGAAAAGUAAUAAUAAAUCAAGGACCCAGGAAUGAAGUUCUUCAGAAAUACCAAGCCUUCUAGAGAAGAGAUGGAGAAUUAUGCUAGCAAGCGCAUGCAUGGCUGAAGGUGGGGAGUUUUAUGGACAACCUUGAAACUUCUGUGGCUUGGAGUUCAAAACACGGUUCUUUGAAAUACAGAGAAAUUAUCCUACACUUUUUCAAAAAUAUGAGUAAUAGAUGGCUGUCUUUACAUAAUAGUUAUUUUUUCUUCAAGUUCUCUAAAUUCUCUAAAAUGAACAUUUAUUCUUUUCUGUCUUUAUUGUGAAAAAAGAAAAGUUUAUUUUUGAGAAAUAAAAAAAGGGAGAUGGGAGGUAUGUGGGGUUUUAUGAUAAUAUUCUACUGAGCAAUACAAUGGGUGUCCUGUCCCCUCCUGUGCUGUACUAGCACAACCUCUGCACUGCUACCGUCGUGGAAUGACACGGGCAGCCAGCUGGACUCAGAGACUCAGUGCCUGCAUCAACCUCCAACGAAAGCCGUGACCGUUCAGAAUCCGGAGUUGACUAUACACCAGGCUCAAGAAGACACAGAGUUUUCUCAACCAUUCAUGGGAGGGCAGUGAAUAAAGACCAUUUCUCUUUCCAUCGAGUUUGGAAAGUCAGAGGACAGUUGCUGCCUCUCUUUGAACAAACGAUGCAAAAAUACAUAGAAUUUUCAUUUAAGAUUUCGUUAAAUCUAAGGCAUCGCCAUUAUUACGAAGAAUUAUGUCCCACACAGAAUUUUUGGAAUAUUAAAUCCUUGGUUUUCAAAAAAUGGUCUGUGGGGCCAGGUGUGGUGGCUCACAUCUGUAAUCUCAGUGCUUUGGGGGGCCGAGGCAUGGAGAUCACUUGAGGCCAGGAGUUUGAUACCAGCCUUGGCAACAUGGCAAGACUCUGUCUCUACAGAAAAAAAAAAAAAAAUUUAGCUGAGCAUGGUGGCAUGUACCUGUGGUCCCAGCUACUCAGGAGGAUCACUCUGAGCCCAGGAGUUGGAGGCUGCAGUGAGCUAUGAUUGCACUAUUGCACUCCAGCCUGGGCAACAUAACAAGACCUUGUCCCUAAAAAAAUUAAGGUCUGUGGGCAUCACUUGAGAGUGAAAUAUGUGGACUGUUAGGCUCUGUUUCAGAUUUACACCAUCGAAACCUGCCUCUAAGUAAAUUUUCAAAGCACUGAUUUUGCUCCUUUCUAUCUGGGCACUUAGCUUGCCUGCCCUGAAAGACCAUUAAACAGGAAAUGCGCAGAUAUACGGGUGAAGACUGACACUCUUCUCCCCCAAGAUCUGCCAAGUCCUGGGGGGAUGUGGCCCAAACCUCAUCAACUAAGGAAGCAACAACAAGAGCAUCUGUAGGUGGGGAUCUGGCCAGAGGUCCCAGAUGAUAGAUGAGGUGUUAGAUAAUCAUGAGUGUGAAAACAAACGGCUUUAGACACUAAUUCUAGGCACAUUUUACCCUGUAAAAUUUGGCAUAAUGAUAAUAAAGCCCCUCACUGAUGAAUGCCUACCGUGUGCCAGGCACCAUAUGGGCAUGGGCCAUACCCCUAAUCCUCACGCCGGCAGUGAAACAGGUUACGUGGCUCCUGCUGGGUGGCAGAAGACAUGGAGGGGAGACGCGCUGCUGCGCCUACAUAGCACAGCUCCUAGGCAGCCUGGAGAUCCUGUCCACUUCAAAGAGUGCCAAAACAGUACUGCAUUCCUUAAAGAGCUGAAUAAAGGAUCGAGUUAGACUGGCCUUCUCAACACCUCACGAAAAGCGCCCUUGGGUCUCAUUUUGCUGGGAUGACUAUUUAUAUGACAGUAAGUUGAAAACUAUGAUUACAGUGGAAAAGAAAAGAACAAAAGAAUGACUACCAGUUACUCAAAAUGUACAACGGAAGUGAGUGAGCUGACUGCAGGAUUGUGACCAUGAGCCACCUCACACGUACCUACAGCCUCGCGCCACUCUGCCAGCGCGUACCCACAGCCAAGGGCCCAUCAGCAAGCUCAGCCCCGCAGCCACUCAUGACUCUCCAGACUCAUCUGUGUCAAAACAAAACUAAAGUUUCCCACUUAAUAAAAGCGAAAGGCUAAUAGACUUGAACAUUUACUGCAUGUUUUUGGGUAUGCCUUAAUCUCUCCCCUGGCUAAGCUGCCAUCAUAUAAAUCAGAGUCAUGAGUUAUCAUUGUUCUAGUAGCAAUAAAAAUAAUAAUAAAAGCACUGUGAGGUCAGAAAAUGUCAAGACCAGUCAGAAAAAUGAGCGAGACAUAAAACAAAGUAUAAAGGACCAGCUAGGAUUGGAAAAAUUCAGGUACUGUACCUCCAAGUGUACUACAGCAGGAGGUAGCUGCCACUGCUGUUUUAUUUAAUGAGUCUCCACAUAAAUCCCAGCUGCUAACCAUGUGAUAAGUCCAUCUCAGAACACGAGAGGCCCCAUUCACUAUCGGUGUUCAGGCCUGGCUGCCAUUAAUGGGAAUUUCACUUACAGUAAGGGAAAAAACAGAUCUUGAAAUGUUCUGUUGGAUCUAAAUUGUUAGCUUUUUAAUUUUAGUAUCAAUUGGUUUGACUCUUUUUUAAACAACAAAAUUAAUAUGCAAAGUCUCUUCAUCUAAAUACAUGAAAAAGGAGAGCGAACAAGUCCUGGAUACUUGAAACAUUUUUAAUGUGAAGAAGGUAUAAAAACAUUUUCCUGGACACCAAAGACAGAAUUCAGACUGCAGAGUAGAAACAAAGCCCACAUCAAUUUCAUAAGCUGCCUGAAAUGCGUAAAUACAGAAAAGAGGGGAUUUUGUUUGGAAUAUUUUUUGUGGGACACACACACUUUUGUAAACUUUUUAACCCUAAGGUUUUGCUGGCAAAUGCAUCAUUUUUCAAAGAGGAGUGUGUACAGGACUGAAAUGUGGACCUCCGCCUGGUGCUGGAGGUGCGGCUAGUGGGAGGUGGCAUGGGAGAGUGUGGAGAAGGCAACCCGAGACAGGCAGACUGGGAGCCCAGACCUGCCACUGCCCACCGUGCAGCCUUGGCAGGUUGCUCACCCUUGCUCUCAGUCGCCCAGAUGUCAAAUUGGAAUAUUAACAUGUGGAGGUUAGACAGGCAAUGAGGAAAGGCUUGGCAAGCAAGCCAGAAACAGGCACAGAGAGGAAACCAUGAGUCACAAGUAAGGGAGACAGAGGCAAAGACUGGGAGCCGACCAAGGCCACAGUCGGGAGGGCGAUCCAGAGUUCAGACCAGGGAGGUGGAGGAACAGGCAGGCUUAAAGAAUGCAGGGCAGAAUUGCACAGGUAAAGGAUGUCUUACGCGUACUGUGUACUCCAAUAGAUUCUUCAAUUUCUUCAAAAUUAAAAAGCAAUGGGACAAGAGUUAAAGGGAGGCAGUAGCACAUGAAUGGCUUAAUUCUGGGGGCAUUUUGUUGGUUCCUAAGAGGUAUGCAUCAAUUCAUUCACAGGCUUUACUAUCCUGGGGUUUCCUGGCAGAAAUGUCUGGGAAGAUCUGCCUGGAAAUAGUUACAAGAAAGAGGUAGUUUCUGAUAUUACACUAGCAAUGGAAGGGGAACAAUAAGACCUGCAGGUGAUGACUUCAUUACUUCAGGUAAGAGAAAAAGAGCUUCUGUCAGAAUUCUCCUUUUUCACAAACCUCUAAUUUAGGGCUAACCUUCAAUCUAGUCAUUAAGAAAUAUCCAAGUUUCUCAAAUGCUGGAAUUUGGCUCAAAUGCUGUUAAUGGAACUCUAUAUUUUAGGUCAAAUAAUUUUAACUCUUUCAAAAGCCAUUUGUUGGAUUUUAGUUAAAAUAAAAAAAUUAAUUAACUUAGAUCUCUGGACACCCUUUCAUUUUCCUCUAUGUGUUAGUGUAAAACUGCAAAGCAAUUCUGCUGCUACCCACCUGGAGUUAGGAAGUGACUCUGCAGACUGAAGGGCAUGAUCCCCAACGAGACAGCCCUCACUUCGGGCACCAGCCCCGGUUUGCGGGUCCCCAGGUCACCUGCACUUAUAACCAACUGGUUAUAAACCUGAGGGGUCUCCACCUUAAGUUUCAUAAUUUGCUAGGAUGACUCACAGAACUCAGGACACAAUAGUCAUGUAAUGACAGUGUUAUUAGAAAGGAUACAACUCAGGACCAGCCAAAUGAAGGGACAGCAGGGGACGGUCUGGAAGGGCCCCAAAGGCAAAGCUUCCAUGUGCUCAAGAUGCAUCACCCCCUUAUUACAUCAACGUGUUCACUACCCAGAAGCUGCACUGCCCAGGGUUUCUAUUGAGGUUUCAUUACAUAGUCAUGACUGACUGAACCACUGGCCGUAUGCUGACCUCACUUGGCUCAAGGCCCUGACUCUCUAAGCCCAUGGUUGGCUUAUCUAGCUUGGCCAGCCCCCACCCUGAAACCAUACAGGGGCCCACCAUGAAUUACAGAGACGCUCCUAUUACUUAGGAAAUGCCAAGGAUGUAGUCUCCCUCCUAGGAAUCAGGACAAAGGCCAAAUUCUUUAUUAUAUAAGUUAGAUAGAACUUGACAAAAAAUUAUUUUUUCUUUUUCUUUUUUCUUUUUUUUUUUUUUUUUUUUCCUGACAGGCUCUUGCUCUGUUACCCAGGCUGGAGCACAGUGGUGCGAUCACGGCUCCCUGCAGUCUCGACCUCCCAGGCUCAAGCAAUCCUCCCACCUUAGCCUCCCUAGUAGCUGGGACUACAGGUGCAUGCCACCACACUUGGCUAAUUUUUGUGUAUUUUUUUUGUAGAGAUGGGGUCUCACUAUGUUGCCCAGGAUAGUCCUGAACUCCUGGGUUCAUGUGGUCCUUCCACCUCAGCCUCCCAGUGAUGGGAUUGUGGGUGUGAGCCACCACACCCAGCCUAAAAUUACUUUCUAAUUGUAUCUUACUGCUGGUAGCAUAGCUAAAUAUUAUGCUAGCAUUUAAAGAAGUGGCAUAUCUGUUUAAAUAAUAUCACACUUAUAUUUAUGAGCCUCUAUCAUUUGUGAUCCACUCUGGUAUAUUCUAUCAGUCUUUCCCCAUCUCGUAUUCAUAAAGAUACAUUUUUCUGUUCCUAAAUAUAUGACAUUGCAUUUAUUGCUAUGAAAGUUCUUAUUAUUUUUGAUGAACUGCUUCUCACAUUUUCAGAGUCAUCCCGAAAACCUCACUCUUUCUGUCAACAAUCUUAUCAAUCCUACUCACUUGGUGAGAAAUCCAGAAAUAAAUGGUCACACUCCAGUAUGACAGCUCAGAAAGAAAUUUUCAGCAUUUAGGGCUUAUUAGACAAGCCCCUCUUCUCAAAAAGAAGAUGAGCCAAUAAUUAGCAAUAAUAAUAAUAAGAGCUCACAAUUACUGAAUGCCUCCAAAGUCUCCAUGGGAGUUAGGCAUGGUCUUACCACAGCCCAGUAGGGCAGACACUACUAUUUUCUUUAUUUUAUAAAGAAGCAAAAGUGAAAUGUAGAGAGGCUGAGUAACUUGUUCAGAUUCACACAGAAAGUGAAGUUGGCUUUUAAAACUCUUUGACUCUAGCACCUAAACUCGUAGCUGCUGUUGGCUUACCUACCUGUUUUAAAGGAAACAAGCAGAUAAAAAUUUCAUGAGGCAAAUUUUACAUGAAGUUUCCAAAUUUUCCAACAUAUCGAGGUUUUCUAUAGUUUUUCUAUAGCGGUUAUAUAUAGUAUAUAUCGUUUUUGUAUAGUAUAUAUGUUUUUCUAUAGUAGCUAUAUAUAAUUGUAUGAUUUGAAUUUUCAUUUAUAUCCACAUGUACCGAGGAAUAUGUGGUCUUCAGUGAAUGCCAGUUCAUUGACAACAAUCGUGAUACUUAGGGAUUAAGUGUGAAGAAGUUCUGCUGCUGCCUGCUUUACCUCUUGUGGUAGGCUGAGUAAUGCCUCCCAAAGAUGUUCAUGCCCUAACUCCUAAUCAGUGACUAUGUUACCUCACAUGGCAAGAUGGUCUUCACAGAUGUGAUUAAGAGAAUGCUGAGUUGGGGAGUGAUCCCGGCUGUCUAGGUGGACCCAAUGUCAUCAAAGGGCUACAAGGCAAAAGGUCAGAAGACAGAGAAGGUAAGUGAUGAUGGAAGCAAAGGACAGAGAAUGUACUUUGUAGGCACUGGAGAGAGCCACAAGCCAAGAAAUGCAGGUGGCCUCUAGAAACUGGAAAAGGCAAGGAAACAGAUUCUCCCCCAGAGCCUCUGGAAGGGAUGUAGCUUUGCUAGAUACCUUGACUAUAACACUCAUUUGGACUUCUGAUUCCAGAACUGUAAGAUGAUAAUUUGUGUUUGUCUCAGUUUGCUUGGGCUGCCAAUACAAACUACCUUGUACUGGGCGCUUAAACACAGAAAUUUAUUUUUUCACAGUCCUGGAGGCUAUACUUCUGAGAUCACACUACCAGCAUGGUCUUUUUCUAGUGAGGAUGCUCUUCCUAGCUUAUAGAUGGUGGCUGCAUUCUCACUGUGUUCUCAACCGUGGUGGGCUGGGGGAGAGCUCUGAUGUCUCUUCCUCUUCUUAUAAGGACACUAAUCCCAUUAUGAAGCCCUGGCCUCUUGAACUCAUCUAAACCUAGUGAUCUCCCAAAGGCCACAUCUCCAAAUACGAUCACAUUAGGAGUUACGGCUUCAACAUAUGAAUUUUGGGGAGACACAAUUCAGUCCACAGCAGUGUUGUUUUAAGUCACUGGUUUUGUAAAAUCAGAAAAAAUAAGAAACAAGUAUGGUUUGUUCCCUUCCUCCUAAGUGGAAUUAACAUAUUAUUUCCUGUUCCUAGAAUACAACGUGCAUUUUGGUGUUUUUAGGAAAGAUUAAACCUGAAUAUAUUUU